CAGUCGAGCGGUAGCACAGAGAGCUUGCUCUCGGGUGACGAGCGGCGGACGGGUGAGUAAUGUCUGGGAAACUGCCUGAUGGAGGGGGAUAACUACUGGAAACGGUAGCUAAUACCGCAUAAUGUCGCAAGACCAAAGUGGGGGACCUUCGGGCCUCAUGCCAUCAGAUGUGCCCAGAUGGGAUUAGCUAGUAGGUGGGGUAACGGCUCACCUAGGCGACGAUCCCUAGCUGGUCUGAGAGGAUGACCAGCCACACUGGAACUGAGACACGGUCCAGACUCCUACGGGAGGCAGCAGUGGGGAAUAUUGCACAAUGGGCGCAAGCCUGAUGCAGCCAUGCCGCGUGUGUGAAGAAGGCCUUCGGGUUGUAAAGCACUUUCAGCGGGGAGGAAGGCGAUAAGGUUAAUAACCUUGUCGAUUGACGUUACCCGCAGAAGAAGCACCGGCUAACUCCGUGCCAGCAGCCGCGGUAAUACGGAGGGUGCAAGCGUUAAUCGGAAUUACUGGGCGUAAAGCGCACGCAGGCGGUCUGUCAAGUCGGAUGUGAAAUCCCCGGGCUCAACCUGGGAACUGCAUUCGAAACUGGCAGGCUAGAGUCUUGUAGAGGGGGGUAGAAUUCCAGGUGUAGCGGUGAAAUGCGUAGAGAUCUGGAGGAAUACCGGUGGCGAAGGCGGCCCCCUGGACAAAGACUGACGCUCAGGUGCGAAAGCGUGGGGAGCAAACAGGAUUAGAUACCCUGGUAGUCCACGCCGUAAACGAUGUCGAUUUGGAGGUUGUGCCCUUGAGGCGUGGCUUCCGGAGCUAACGCGUUAAAUCGACCGCCUGGGGAGUACGGCCGCAAGGUUAAAACUCAAAUGAAUUGACGGGGGCCCGCACAAGCGGUGGAGCAUGUGGUUUAAUUCGAUGCAACGCGAAGAACCUUACCUGGUCUUGACAUCCACAGAACUUUCCAGAGAUGGAUUGGUGCCUUCGGGAACUGUGAGACAGGUGCUGCAUGGCUGUCGUCAGCUCGUGUUGUGAAAUGUUGGGUUAAGUCCCGCAACGAGCGCAACCCUUAUCCUUUGUUGCCAGCGGUUCGGCCGGGAACUCAAAGGAGACUGCCAGUGAUAAACUGGAGGAAGGUGGGGAUGACGUCAAGUCAUCAUGGCCCUUACGACCAGGGCUACACACGUGCUACAAUGGCAUAUACAAAGAGAAGCGACCUCGCGAGAGCAAGCGGACCUCAUAAAGUAUGUCGUAGUCCGGAUUGGAGUCUGCAACUCGACUCCAUGAAGUCGGAAUCGCUAGUAAUCGUAGAUCAGAAUGCUACGGUGAAUACGUUCCCGGGCCUUGUACACACCGCCCGUCACACCAUGGGAGUGGGUUGCAAAAGAAGUAGGUAGCUUAACCUUCGGGAGGGCGCUACCACUUGAUCUGC
rnacentral:rRNA from 1 species